CCGGGAAGUUGCUGGAUUGCAAACUUUCUGGCAAUAAUUUGGGAAAUUUAUUGCAGAUGUGGGCACAAGCCAAAAAAUGUAAAAAAAAAAAAAAAAAGAAAAAAAAAAAAGGAAGAAUAUUUAAAAAAAACUUUGGAGCUGGGCAUGAAUUUAUAAAACACUCACAAUAAUGAAGGCAUCCUUACUGUUACAGAAAAAGGAUUUGGUAACAGCAUAUUUAGUUUGUAGGUUUUUAUUUUGUUUUUUUAAAAUCAUAAUAAAUUGAUCAGGUUUGGGCAUUUAUAAUCACAUCUAUGAAACUGACCAAUGUCUAAUGUGGGCGAAUUUCCCUCAGCUGAAGUACCAGAUAAAGGCCUUUACACACCAAGCACAUUGUGGAAAAAUGUCACAAAAAUCCGAAUUUAUUUUGGAUGCGAAUUUGUCAUGUAACGUCAAAUCGACAUCAAGAAGAAGAAACAAUGAUUCUGAUUUUCUCCAGUUCUCACAAGCUGGUUUAAUCCAGGAGUUGAAGCUGUAUCACGGCAGCUUUCGUACAUUUAAGAACAUUUAACACCUGAGGAGGCAGAGAAAUCAUUUCAGUGAGCAGAUUGACCCGGAGCAGCGUCUAGUUGUGUGUCUGAGGUAAAAUAAUAUUAUUUUCUUGUUUCCAUAUAAUUGUAUGUUCAGCACCGGUGUGCGCUUUGAGCACACUUGUUGGAAAACGCAGUAAUCUGAUUGGUCAGCUCUGUUUAUGCACAUGCGAAAAAUUAGAAAAAAAUCAUACCUGGUUGGUAUGAACGGCUGCAUUAAGAACAAGCGAGGCUGCACAAAAUAUUUGUGUGAAUUUUACAUGUUUAAUGUAUAAAGGCCUUAACACUCAACUUUCAAAUUGCGUAAACUAUGAUGGCUUUAUAGCCAAGGUAGUCCAAGAUGGUCUCCUUUCAUGGUAUAUUAAUAUCUUCCCACCUCUGCUCCUUUCAUCUUUGAUGCUCAUGCUUUAUUUAAAGCCAGAUUUAUAUGCACAAGCUGUUUCAGUGGUCACGGAUCACAAUCGGCCCAGUCGACCAACUUUUAUCCUGAUUUCUUUUAUGAAGGUGCUAGGGCUCAUGUUCUUGGUAACAUUGUUAGUAAUAUGCCUUCUGAGAUACAGUCACCAGGAGGUUGAGCGGGCCAUCCACUAAUCAGAAAGUUGAUGGUUUAAUGUCCGGCUGCUCCAGUGUGCACGCCAAAGCAUCCCUGGGCAAAAAAGCUCAUCAGAGUUUGAAUGUGAGUGAAUGAAGCAUCUGAUUUCUUUCACUGACAACUUCAGUAAAACCCCGGGUAGAUACUUUAUUGCCCUCUAUAGGUGGAAACGGUAACAUUUUAAUCUAAAAUAUGCUGCUUUAAAAAACGACAACAGUAUGCUUGUUUUUAUUACACCACUGCUGUCCCUGCUGUUUCAUUUUUAUAAUGAAAGGCUGUAGCAAUGCCAUAUAAAACACUAACAGACCAAAAGCUAAAGUGUAAUUUCAGCUCUGUGUGUGUGUGUGUGUGUGUGUGUGUGUGUGUGUGUGUGUGUGUGUGUGUGUGUGUGUGUGUGUGUGUCCAAAUUUCAGUCAGCCAUCACCCCUCUCUCUCUCUCAGCCAGUUCUCCUCUCUUAUCUCUUCCCGUCACUGUGCAGAGCCCUCAUCGGUCCACAAUUGUUAUGUUAUCAAACGGAAAUUAUCUGUGUCGAAGACAUCCUGUUUUGAAGAAAUCACUCAGUGCAUUUAUUUGUUUAUCAAAUCAUACAGGACUAGUUGAAGGCAAUUAGCUGGCAUCUUUGUGCACCACAUCAGGAGCUCAAACACUCUCCUAUUCUCUCUUCUCGCUAAAUAACGUCUCCCCGUGGACCUCAGUUUAGCAUUCCAUUUUUAUUUUAUUCUUUUUGUUUUGUUUUUUUCACGCUGCUACUGUAUGUCUGGAAAGAUUUUCUUUUUCUGGACUUGUAUCAUUGUUACUAGGCAGUCGCUAGCAGACAGACGUUGGUGCUUGCAUGUGCAUAUCUGUUCCUCCGCUGGCAACAAUGCCUCUCAGCUGUUUGUGUAUAUAAGAAUGUAGUUAGAGCAUUUUUAUUCGGUUUAGUAAGGGUUGUGCUUAAGUUGUCGUGCAACAGUUUUGUUUUUUAAAGGAAACACACAUUGUGCUGAAAGCAGCAGUAUACUAACAUACCAUGUAAAUGUAUGUAACCCAGUUACACUUGUUCCUGAUGCUACAGCGCACCAGGCGUUAACAGCAGAGCAUUAAUCUUCUCAGCCCUUUGAGCUAAACUGUGUGGUGUUAUUUAACAUGUGUACUACUAUAACGACCUCCAUGUAACUAUUCUAUGUACAAGUCAUUUUAAAGUGACACUAAAAGUGUUAAAUAUUUGUCACUGUGUAUACCAAGAAGGUAGUCUUUGCCCCAGAUAAGCAUAUUUAUUGUUUUUUGUAUUACACAUGGGUGGGUUUGAGGGGUGGGGGGGACCUUUGCAUGUAGGCUUGAACAGAAAUGGCAUUAUUCCCUAAGAAAUCAGUGUUUAAAUGUGAAAUGAAUUACUUUUUUAUGCUUAUUUGUUCACCCACUUCACAUUCAUACUGUACAUGUUACUAUAUUAAAGGGCCUUGUUUAUAAUUGUUUUUUCUCUCUUUUGUUUUGUUUUUGGGGGGUUUUUUUUAGGGGAAAAAGGGGAAAAAGUUGCUUUAAAGCCAAAACAAACCCAGAUAAUUUAUAUCGUGUGUAGGUAGUAAAUAAUCUGUGAGCUCGAUCAGCCGCCUAACUGCUCACUGAGCCAUGUAAAGCUGCCAUUUCAUCUUGUUUCAUUUUAUUGUUUUGUCGUAUUAUGGCAGGAAAAACCGCAUUAAGCCUGGGGGGAGAGUUUCCACACUGCCUGAAACGCUGCCAGAAUAGAUUGUGUAGGUGGUGUGGUCACACCCAGACACAGAUCCCAAAUAACACUUUGCUCUCCUUGCAGUGCUGAGUAAUGACAUCUGUGUUCAAAAAC
ensembl:lncRNA